AUAUCAGGAAUUGAAGAGCCAGCGGUGGACCAUUCAUUUUAUCUGCUCACCCUCUCUCAAGGGUUCUCUCUCCUCCGUCACUCCGUCAGGGGCAUCUGCUUCAAUCCCCCCACCACCGGCGUGCACAUCUGGUCUCCUGGAGGACAUUUUUGGGGGUUCAAGUCCAGAUCAGAGACCUAGUUCUGGAUCUGCUUGGCUUGGCUCCAGGAGCGCGCGGCCGCGAUACCGAGCUCACGGCGGACAACCGGCCAUGGCGGCGAGGGCGGGUGAUGCGGGAGGGGGCGACGCCGGGGAGCUAUCUCUCUCUCUCUAGGGCUCCUUUCUCUCUCCGCGCGUUCAGCUGCAACGCUCGCAUCCCCCUCGCCGGCGGCGUGCACUCCCGGAUGCUGCGCCCCCCCGGCUGUAUAGGGAUCGGCGGCGCAGAUUAGGCCCAGUUCGCAUGUGGAAUCCGGAGAGGGCAUCCGCUACGGUUGAUUUAGACAGAUCUGUUCAUACGUACCCCCCUCCCUCCCCCGUGCACUCCCAAAUGCUCUGCAUCGAGCUCGUCACAUUGAUUUCUGGGGGAUUUUCGUGGUUUGUUCUGGUUUUUGGGGAGGUCAGGGGAUAGGGAUUUCACGCUCGCGCACUAACCGUUGGGAAUCGUAGCACACAUCAAUCCUCUGCAUUGGCUGGGUGCAGAUGCAGAGGAUUUUUUUAGCAUAUACAUGUUCAUUGGGGUGUCAGGAACACACCCAUGCUCACAUCCUGUUGGUUUUUUCGCAUCAAUUAGCAGGGACUUUUACCGGUUUUUGUUUGCAUUUUAUUCACAUUUUUAUUCCACAAUCCAUGAGCGACUAGGGGGAUUUUUUGUUGCUUCACUUAGUUUCAGUUCAUGGAACAGUAUACCUAGUUGCUAGAUAUUAGGAUGUGUAGGUCAAGUAUGUGCCUCCACGCUAAUGAGCCAACAGUGCUUGAUUUUCAGUGGCACUUCCUCUGACAUUUAAACAUGCUAAUGAACAAGCUAGUGAACUAAUAUAUUUCAGUUACAAGUAGUUCUGCAUUUUAGGUCGAUAAGUUCAUCUAGUUGAACCAAUGCAAGCAGCAGCGAAAUACAGUAUAGAGUACGUAAUUAAGGUCAAGAACUAGCCCUUAUAGUUCUCUACUGUAUUCACCUAUUCUAACAUAAGGGCCAGCUCACUUCCAUAACACGCUUCACAUGUAAACAUGCAAACAUGCUAAUAAACUACAGUAAUUCAGUUAUUUUUUUUAGUUCAGUUUAGUCCUACAUUUUUUGGUGGAUAGGUUGAUCUAGUUGACCAGCACAGGCAGUAGGACUUGUAAAUAUAGUAGAGAACGGGUAUUUAAGAUCAGGAGCUGGCCCUCAUAGUUCAAUUAUUUUUUUCAUUCACCCCAUGUUUUUACUAAUGAUCAACACAUAAGUCAUCAGCAUCCGCAUUUGGAUUUGGGCUAGUCUUCGAUGUGGAGGAGAGGAACUUGAAGCAUAGAUUUUUCAAUGGGUUCAUGCCCUGCGCACCUAAAAUCCUUUGCAUCAGAUUCGUCGACUAACUUUUGGGUGUGGGACACUCACACUCACAUCCAGUUGAUUUUGCAGAGGUCUUGGCGUUCAGAGUGCGCCCGGCGGCGGCGCCAGUGCAGAAAGAAUUCAGCUUCGCCGGGUGGCUGCAAUCAGCUGAGUUUAUCAAGGUGGAUAGCAGCGGCUUGUCUUCUGGCUCUGACAAAGAUAUGAGCUGACUUGAAGAAGAAAUUAAAGAGGGCACGAGUCUGUGCAAUCAGCAGCUGUCUAGUGAUUGCAGAUUCAGACACUAACACAUCUGACAUCUCUUGAUUAUUAAUCUGCUCUUAGAUCAACUAAAAACAGAGUAAUGUGGUAUAUCAACCUCUCUUUUUUUUCUCCGCUUCUUGUUUUCUCAGUAGGCGACAAUACAUUUUAGUAUAUAGCAUUUUACUUCAUUAGGAAAUAAAAAUAAAUAGGAACUUUAGAAAUAAAUAUGCUUCUGCAUUAUCCAAAAAUAUAAUUCAUUAGGCAUUAAUAUGGUUCUGAUUAGGCAAUAAUAUGGUUCUUAACGCAAAAUAGUUUACUUCAUUGGGCAAUGUUUAAUUUAGAAUUUAAGAAUUCAUUUUCAUUGGUUGUCUAAAGUGCAAGGUAAUAUACAACUAUCAGCACUGGUAUUUAACAUAGAACCUAGUUCCUUAGCCUGACCACAUGGGAGUUAAUGCUAUGUGCGCAGUCAUCUUGAGAGUAUAUAUUCAAAAUUCAUUAGGCUAUAAUAGGCAGUUAUGUGGUUUUUAAUUAGGCAAUAAUAUGGCACUAAAAAAGUAAUAUAGUUUACUUCAUUAGGUAAUGUUAUUGGACAUGUAAUUAUCAGUAUUUUGUAUAGAGAUUGCAGAAUUCCCACUAGAUCUAAAAGCAAAAACUAUUGUUCAGUUUUUGAAGCAUGAUCUGAACUAUUAUCACAAAGAAAUAGGAGCAUUCCUACUAGAUCCCAUAUGUUGCUCUUUUCAUUAGACAUGUACUUCCUUUUUUCUGUAUUGGAUUGGGGGUAGGGGUAUCAGGCUCUAUGGCAAACAUUCAUGACAGCAUGGAUAAAUUUAAUUCACACUGUCAUAUUUUUAUUUUUCAAGGGCGCUUCCUAAUUUUUUUAAAAAAACUAAAAUCUAGUUGUUAGACUAUGUAGCCUUGUUUUCUUUUUCUAUACACAUUAUGCAGCUAGCAUACUCGGCUCUUUUUCUCUUAUUGUGGCAGUAUUUGUGCUAGAUCCUACAAUUUUUUAUGAUACAAGCAUCAUUGUUUUUUUAUUAGAUAAUAAUAUAUAUAGGAAUUAGCAAUAAUAUUGUUUCAGAUAGGCAACAAUAUGUGUUAAAAUAAGUAUUUUUUUGAUAAAAGGUUACAUGCGGAUUCUUAAUGCCGCUAGUAACAGGAACAACAACAGUUCGUUUAAUAUGUAUGUGCAAUAGGAUACUGAACUCAUUUUAGUUAGGUCUAGUAACAGAAACAACAACCGUUUGUUUAAUUAUUCAUUGGGAAAAAUAUACUACUAAAUUAGGCAACUUAUGCUACAUCAAUAAGCAAUUUAUCCACUGUAGUUCAACACUUCUAUAUUCUAGUUCUAGCAGUAUUUUCAUAUGUCGCUGAAUUUUGCUAUUUUGGUGUACUGAUUAAUUUCUAUAAAAAAGUCAGUUUGUAUUUGCUUUGCAAAAUGGUGGGGCCGCUGCGACGCGAGGCAGCUCGUGCAUCCACAUGCAGUAUGCCCUGAAAACCAAAUAUGUUCCUGUCAUUUCUAAUAUUUUCAUGCAUUUUCAUGUUGGUCUUUAGCAGAAGGCAAAUUUAUAUAUUUCGUUAGGCAAUAAUACUUGUUAGCAGAGGCAAAUUCAUGCAUCUGAUUAGACAACUUUAAUUUAUCAUACUUUUUUACAUCUAAAGCAUUUUACCCUGUUAUGCUAUUAUGUGAUUUCUGAAUUAGGCAAUAAUUAUUUCAGCAGAAGGCAAAUUUAUGUAUUACAUUAGGCAACUUCAUUGAAUAAUCCAUUAUUUUUGCCUACUUGUUUGUUUUAAAUUGCUCCUGAGUUUAUCAUAAUAUGCCUACAAGCAAGAAUGCUUAUUGUUAUAAAGUAUCAUCAAAACAUAUAUUUGAGCAAAAUGUUCUGUUCAUUCAUUAUGGGAGUUUAUCUAUGCUAAUACACCACUUUUAACUGUUCUCUAUCCUGAUACUAUGAAAUAAUAUGGUUCAUGAUAGGCAAAAUAGUGUACUUAAUUAGGUAAUCUUUUAUCGAGCAUUUCAUAAUUUUUCUUUUAUUGGCAGCCUUGAGUAAUAUGUUACAUACAACUACUAGUAUCUCUGCAGUUGACAAAAUGAGGAGAAGAUGCAGCUUCAUGGGUGAACAAGAACUGAAAUAACGCUAUACUUAGCUGCUAGUGUGUUUUGUAGGGUAGCAUCCUCUAGAUUGAUGCCUAAUUGGUCCCAAAUUCGAUUCUGAAUCCACAAUGUUUUAGUUUCACUACAAAGAUUCAAAAAGGGCUCUACAUGCCCUUCCUCAUCACCUAGUAAUGCAGCAUCAGCGCAUAUGUUGCUCUUUUCAUUAGACAUGUACUUCCUUUUUUCUGUAUUGGAUUGGGGGUAGGGGUAUCAGGCUCUUUGGCAAACAUUCAUGACAGCAUGGAUAAAUUUAAUUCACAAUGUCAUAUUUUUAUUUUUCAAGGGCGCUUCCUAAUUUUUUUUAAAAAAACUAAAAUCUAGUUGUUAGACUAUGCAGCCUUGUUUUCUUUUUCUAUACACAUUAUGCAGCUAGCCUACUCGGCUCUUUUCCUCUUAUUGUGGCAGUAUUUGUGCUAGAUCCUAUAAUUUUUUAUGAUACAAGCAUUAUUGGUUUUUUAUUAGGUAAUAAUAUAUAUAGGAAUUAGGUAAUAAUAUUGUUUCAGAUAGGCAACAAUAUGUGUUAUAAUAAGUAUUUUUUUAUAAAAGGUUACAUGCGGAUUCUUAAUGCCGCUAGUAAUAGGAACAACAACAGUUCGUUUAAUAUGUAUGUGCAAUAGGAUACUGAACUCAUUUUAGUUAGGUCUAGUAACAUAAACAACAGCCGUUUGUUUAAUUAUUCAUUGGGAAAAAUAUACUACUAAAUUAGGCAACUUAUGCUACAUCAAUAAGCAAUUUAUCCACUGUAGUUCAACACUUCUAUAUUCUGGUUCUAGCAGUCUUUUCAUAUGUCGCUGAAUUUUGCUAUUUUGGUGUACUGAUUAAUUUCUAUAAAAAAGUCAGUUUGUAUUUGCUUUGCAAAAUGGUGGGGCCGCUGCGACGCGAGGCAGCUCGUGCAUCCACAUGCAGUAUGCCCUGAAAACCAAAUCUGUUCCAGUCAUUUCUAAUAUUUUCAUGCAUUUUCAUGUUGGUCUUUAGCAGAAGGCAAAUUUAUAUAUUUCGUUAGGCAAUAAUACUUGUUAGCAGAGGCAAAUUCAUGCAUCUGAUUAGACAACUUUAAUUUAUCAUACUUUUUUACAUCUAAAGCAGUUUACCCUGUUAUGCUAUUAUGUGAUUUCUGAAUUAGGCAAUAAUUAUUUCAGCAGAAAGCAAAUUUAUGUAUUACAUUAGACAACUUCAUUGAAUAAUCCAUUAUUUUUGCCUGCUUGUUUGUUUUAAAUUGCUCCUGAGUUUAUUAUAAUAUGCCUACAAGCAAGAAUGCUUAUUGUUAUAAAGUAUCAUCAAAACAUAUAGUUGAGCAAAAUAUUCUAUUCAUUCAUCAUGGGAGUUUAUCAAAGCUAACACACCACUUUUAACUGUUCUCAAUCUUGAUACUAUGAAAUAAUAUGGUUCAUGAUAGGCAAAAUAGUGUACUUAAUUAGGUAAUCUUUUAUCGAGCAUUUCAUAAUUUUUCUUUUAUUGGCAGCCUUGAGUAAUAUGUUACAUACAACUACUAGUAUCUCUGCAGUUGACAAAAUGAGGAGAAGAUGCAGCUUCAUGGGUGAACAAGAACUGAAAUAACGCUAUACUUAGCUGCCAGUGUGUUUUGUAGGGUAGCAUCCUCUAGAUUGAUGCCUAAUUGGUCCCAAAUUCCAUUCUGAAUCCACAAUGUUUUAGUUUCACUACAAAGAUUCAAAAUAGGCUCUACAUGCCCUUCCUCAUCACCUUGUAAUGCAGCAUCAGCGCGACACUAUACAUUCAUAAGAGAAAUGUAACAAUUUUUAGGUUUGGCAAAUCAAUAUAUUAUCUGUGCAAUAUUUGUUGCUU